GAUGAACGCUGGCGGCGUGCCUAAUACAUGCAAGUCGAGCGAACAGACGAGGAGCUUGCUCCCCUGACGUUAGCGGCGGACGGGUGAGUAACACGUGGAUAACCUACCUAUAAGACUGGGAUAACUUCGGGAAACCGGAGCUAAUACCGGAUAAUAUAUUGAACCGCAUGGUUCAAUAGUGAAAGACGGUUUUGCUGUCACUUAUAGAUGGAUCCGCGCCGCAUUAGCUAGUUGGUAAGGUAACGGCUUACCAAGGCGACGAUGCGUAGCCGACCUGAGAGGGUGAUCGGCCACACUGGAACUGAGACACGGUCCAGACUCCUACGGGAGGCAGCAGUAGGGAAUCUUCCGCAAUGGGCGAAAGCCUGACGGAGCAACGCCGCGUGAGUGAUGAAGGUCUUCGGAUCGUAAAACUCUGUUAUUGGGGAAGAACAAAUGUGUAAGUAACUAUGCACGUCUUGACGGUACCUAAUCAGAAAGCCACGGCUAACUACGUG
rnacentral:rRNA from 1 species